AUUGAACGCUGGCGGCAUGCCUAACACAUGCAAGUCGAACGAGUCGCGGACGUGUGAGUAAUGUCUGGAAAACUGCCUGAUGGAGGGGGAUAACUACUGGAACCGGUAGCUAAUACCCCAUACCAUCAGGUUUGCCCAGGUGGGAUUAGCUUGUUGGUGGGGUAACGGCUCACCAAGUCGACGAUCCCUCGCUGGUCUGAGAGGAGGACCAGCCACACUGGGACUGAGACACGGGCCAGACUCCUACGGGAGGCAGCAGUGGGGAAUAUUGCACAAUGGGCGAAAGCCUGAUGCAGCCAUGCCGCGUGUAUGAAGAAGGCCUUCGGGUUGUAAAGUACUUUCAGCGGGGAGGCGGUACCUAAAGAGGAAGCACCGGCUAACUCCGUGCCAGCAGCCGCGGUAAUUC
rnacentral:rRNA from 1 species